GGGCGGUUAGCUCAGUGGUAGAGCGCCUGCCUUACAAGCAGGAUGUCACUGGUUCAAGUCCAGUACUGCCCA
rnacentral:tRNA from 2 species